UUCAAUAUAUCGAACAAUAUUUACUUGAUGAAAAUCAAUUUACUCCUGCGGGAUUGGGGAGCUUUUCAACUGCAAAUCAAUGGAUAAAUGAACCGAUACCCGAGGUUUCCACCUCUCCGUCUCAGUCUCUUUGCUCUCAAACUUCCACCUCUGGUUCCUGUCUUACGCUAUCCAAUUUUAAUUGCCUCGACGACGAUGAUUUCUUCAACUUCUCUCCCAAUUUCCCAGGUUUCGAGUCUAACCGAAUUGAUGUUUUUGAAUUUGACUCGAAACCUCAAUUUAUCAAUCUAACCGCUCCUGAGCCCUUUGAAUUUACACCUCAAAUCACUGAACUUUCAGCUGUAAAACCUCCAACUCCUUCGAGUUCGAGUUCGAGUUCCAGCUCUCAUAAUCGAAAACCGUCGCUCAAAAUAUCGUUACCGCAUAAAGUAGAGUGGAUUCAAUUCCGCAAACCGGAUUCAACUAACGCACAGCCGACGAAUUCAAAUUCCGAAGACAAAAAUAAGCAUUACAGAGGUGUCCGACAGAGACCGUGGGGGAAGUUUGCGGCCGAGAUCCGCGAUCCGAACCGAAGAGGUUCACGGAUCUGGUUGGGAACCUUUGAUACCGCAAUAGAAGCCGCAAAGGCUUACGACCGAGCCGCUUUUAAGCUACGUGGCUCAAAAGCGAUUCUUAACUUCCCUCUCGAAGCCGGGAAGCUGGAUGUAACCGCCGUCGACGGAGAGAGGAAACGGAGCAGAGACGACGGCGCUGGGAAUGAGAAACAAGUUAAGGCCGGGAAGAGAGCAAAUGAUGACGUGACUAAAGCGAGAGAUAACGGCGAUGCGCCUUUAACGCCGUCAAAUUGGACAUCAUUUUUGGAUUGGGAUAAUGAGACAAAGGGAAUAUUUAACAUGCCAUUGUUAUCGCCGUUAUCUCCGCACCCGCCGUUAGGCUUUCAACAAGUUACGGUCAUCUAAUGAUAAUGUAUAUAAAUUCUUUUAUUUGUUUUUAGAAUUCUGGAAUUCUCUUCUUUCAAAAGAAAAAAAAAAUUGGGAUUCUCUAAAGUAGUAUCAACCUAAUUAUCCCUAAACUUUCGAUAACUCAAUUUUCAAAAACUUACAUAAUAAUCACUAAUAUUAUCGAAUUAUUACAUUUUAACUACGCUUCAAUUAACUUUCGUUAAUAACACUUUAAUUUGAAGGAUUAAUUAAUAAUUUAGUCAUUAAACUAUAACUCAAAUAUCAAUUUGAUAUUUAAAUUUUUUUUGCUAAUAUAUAUUAUAAAUAAAUAAAACUUAUUAAAGACUUUCUCCAUAUCAUCACUGUUCUGGCUUAUUUUUAAUUUCUGGAUUUUCAUCAUCUUGAAAUCAACCAUCAUCACUUAAGCUACACAAAUCUACCUCGAUCGCCAUUAAAGCCCAAAGAAAAUAAACCGUAAACAAAAGAAACCAAUGUACUAAAAAUGAAGAAUCGAAUUAUAGGGGAAAAAAAAAGACUAAAUAGGGUUUUGGCUCAGACUAUGUUAAAUUUACUUUGAAGGUCUCAAAUGGAAUUUAGGAUGGGUAAAUCUAGACCAAAAACCUUUAAUGGAUCAAAUGGAUCGGAAUCGGAAGAGGAUGAUGAUUUGACUGCAGCUGAGGUGGUUGAGGAGGAGGAGGAAGAUGUAGUAAAAGUUGAAGCCGGUACGAAAGGGAAAACAAGUUGGGAUUAUCAAAAUAUUCGUAAAUUUCUCAUCAAAAUUUCAUAUCUUAUAGGUUUUUGUUUAACAAAUUUUUUAAAUAUCAAAAUAAUAUUUUAGUUAUAGUUUAGGGACUAAAUUAAUUAUUAAUUUUUUAAAUUAACAUAUCAAGUAAUCUUUUUAAAAGAAAUUAGCGGAUAAGUGACUUCAACAACGUCAGUGAGUGUUAUGUAAUUUUUGAAAGUUGGGUGUAUUAAAAUAUAAUUUUAAGUAAAAUUAAGAAAUAAUUAAUAAAAUCUAUUAUUUUAUUAUCAAUGAUUGCUUUACGACACAGCUUACGUGCAAAAUUAAAACCUUAUCAACCGAUUUAUUUUUUCUUUUGAUUUGUUUUGUAAUAUGUUUUUUAUCAACCAAUUUCUUAAGACAACGUAUGUAAUAAAAAAUCAUUCCCAAUCUCUUACUUUCGUUAUAAGAAAUCUCUUUUCAUUUAAUUUUUUAUUCGAAUUAAUUUUGUGUUUUACUUGUGUAUAAAGUUUGUACUUACCACAAAUUUUGAUGUUUUCUUUCCGUCUCAUUUAGUGUUUGAUAGAUUUGUAAAUUUAAAUGGUGAUUGUUAUGUCGAUAGAGUCUUAACUCGAUUGGCAUCAGCAUUGUUGUCGGUGCAAGAGGUCGUGAAUAGUUCUAGGCAUUGUAUAAAAAAGAACAGAUACUAUAAAAACCUAUGCGAUAUCAUAUUGUAGAAAUAGAUACUAACCUGUUAAAAAUAUUUAAAAAAUAUAAUCAUUUAAAUAAGUUAUUGAACUUAAUUAAUAAUAUUAAAAUUUAUAUUUUUGUAUAAAUAUAUUUAUGUAUAAUUGAGGUAUAUUAGUAUGUAUAUAUAAAAAUAUUAAAAAAUCAUUUAUGCUAAAGAAAAUAUUUUAAAAGUGUUGGUGGUUUGAGUUCAAAUAUUACAAUAAGUAAAUUUUAUGAUACCAAAAAAAAUACUCAUCAAUUAUAUAAAGUAUUCUUUAAUAAGCUUCACAAGCAGGGAAGAAGCUAUAAAUUUUUUAGGGGGCGAAAUUAAAUUGUUUAUUUUUACAAUAAUAAAAAUGCAAUUUCACUAUUUUUAAUGCCCUAUAUCUUUAUAGUUUUUAAAGUGAAUUAAUUUUUUUAUCAUUUGAGGGUCAAAGUGCAAUUUUACCAUUACCAAUUUAAAAUUUAUAAAUUAUAAAAUGAUCUAAAUGAAAAAAAAAUCAUUUUAAGGGGGUCGGGUAGCCCCCUAGCUCCGCCAUUGUUCACAAAUAUAAUACAUUAUUAAACAAACUCAAAAUAAACGGACAAAAAAAUUAUUUUAUAAAUUAAAUAAUAAGAUCAUUCCAUACUAUGCAUAUAACAAUUCAUAAUUUAAGAAAUCAAAAAUAAAUGAUAAAAUACAUAAAUUUCAAUUUAAAAUUAAUUUUAAAAUUAAUUUUUUUUAGUACGCACAAGUGAAAUUAAUCAAUACACAUUGGUACAACUGGUAUGUAUUAAAAUUUACACCGGAAUGAAACUUAAAAUUUGUUGCUCUGGUUUACUACCAUGAUAGAAACUUAACCAAGAAUAAAUAAAUUUUGGGUAAACUGUAUAAAUAGUGACCCAACUAUUAGCGAGUUUUUAUUUUCGUCAUUUAGGUUUAAAAUUUUCUAUUUUAGUCACUAAUGUUAUCGAUAUUUAAUAUUUUGGUCUCCCCUUCAUUGAAUCACUAACAGAAUAAUGACAUGAUCUUUUUUAUUGGCAUAAUAACAAAUUUAGCCCUCCAAUGUUUACAGAUUCUAUCAAAUUGGUCUUAAUUCUAAAAUAAUAAAAAAUUAGCCCUCAACUUUACACAUUCUAUCAAUUUAGCCAUAAUUCUUAAAAUUAAAAAAAAUAUAUUUAAAAAUUCAUUUUCUAUAAAAAUACACACUAUUUUAUAAAAAUACAUACAAAAUUAUAAAAAAUGAAUAUCUAUUUUCUCAGUUAUAACAUUUGUUUAUUAAAAUGAUAAAUUUAUAAAUAAAAUAAUUUAAGGGAAAAAAACAAGAAGAAUAAUUAAGUAGAUUUAGGUAUUAUGUUUUUUUUUUUUCCAACAUUAAUGAUCAUCGUGUGCAAGUUGGGUCAAAAACUACAACAUGAGCUUCAAAAGGGUAAGAUUCAAUGUCUUUAGGUAGUUACUUAGAAUGAGUUUAUUGCGAUUGAGGUUGUGCUUAAGGGCGGGAAUGAUUGUAAACAUAAAAGAGGAUAAGGUCUUAGAGAUCAAGUAGGUGGAAGGUUAUGCCAACAACUCGCAACAAUAGAGGAUGUGAAAAUUUAGAAGUUAUGAGUAAGUGUUAUUAGUGCUAAUGGUUGUAUGUGAAGACGACUCGAUAAAUUUAAUGAGGACUAGGAAACAAGGCCAAACAUAUAAUAAAUAAAUUAUUAUUUAUAAAAUACAACUAAAAAAGGAAAAGAAAAGAAAUGUAUGAAUUUGGUUUAAGAAUUGUUUGUGGGUUUUUUAAGAAAAUUGUUUUAUUUAUAAUAUUAUUAUUUUAAUAAAUAAAUGUUGUGUUAGAAAAAAGAGAAAAAUGAGUAUGUAUUUAUAAUUUUGUAUGUAUUUUUAUUGAAAAUUGAACUUUUAAUUUUUUUAAAGUUUUUUUAAAUUUUUAAGAAUCAAGGAUAAAUUGACAGAAUGUUAGAACUUAUAAAUAUUAAAGGGAUAAAUUUACACUUCUAGUAAUUUAACAAAUAAGUGAAUAAAAUAUGAUAAUAUUAAUAAUUAAAAUAAAUUUUUUAAAACUAAACGAACAAAACCAAAAAAUCGUUAAUAAUUGUGUGAAUAUUUAUAAAGUUUGCCCACAAAUUCUAUCCAAAUAUUUUAUCCAAAGCACAACUUCAUUUUGUCGGGAACCAACCAAGUAAAACUAAACAAAACAUAAACAAUGCUUCGAGAUUUGAAAUUAACGUUAACCACUAGGCGCUAGCCGCCGCCGCCUGCUCCUCCUCCUCUGUCUUACAUACCUUUUUCAAUGAACCUGAGGAUGAUUAAUGAGGAGGCUAUUCAACCAAGUCCUAUUUGUUUAAAUCUCAAAAUUUUGUCUGACAAGGUUUUGGCUGGUAUAAACAGAUUAAGUAAGAAAAUGAGUUUAUUUAUAAAUAAUAAUAAAAUGAAUAAAGCCUUUAAUUUAAUGUCACUGUCCAAAAUCCAUCUAACCUAAUAAUUAUAUCUACAUGUUUCAUCAUUAUUAAUUUUAUUUUUAAUUUUAAAGAGAUUAUUUGGAAUUUAAAAUUUUGAAGUUUUAAAUUCAAGCUUAUUAUACGUGGGUUAGUAUAAGUUUAACGCUCGAUGUUUAUAUAUAUAUUUUGUCAAUUUUAUUAUUUUUCAAUAAAAGUAAAAAUGUUAACUAAAACAUUUUUUAACGAUUCAUGUUAACAUAGCACUAUUUAUUUCAGAAGUCAUGUCAACAAGUGAUUUAAAAUUUAUAAAAAAUAUUUAAAAAAAUCAAAAUUUAUAAUGAUUCAAAAAACAACAUGUGCAUAUGAAUUAUCACGUGGGUUGCUAUAAUUUUUUUAAGCUUAACGCACAGUUUAAGUUCCUAAAGUAUAUUGCUUUUCCAGUUUCCACUGAAGUGGGCAAAAAAUAUAUGGACUAAAGUGAGAAAAACAAUAUACUUUAGGGACUUAAAUUGUGCAUUAAACUUUUUUAUUAUUAUUUUAGAUAUAUAUUCUAUAAUAAUUAAAUUUGUUCUUUCACAAAGUGAAUGUGCAUGUAAUUAAUUUUGAUAGAGUUAUCUAAAUUAUUCUGAUUUGUUAGUUGGACAAUAUAAUUAAUUAUUCAAUGAUGUAUUACGAUAGUAACUUUUUGUAUUGUUACCAUUUUUUUUUUUUUUUUUUUUGAUGUUCAGAACAGAAGGACUUAAAUCUCCUAAAUGCAACCAAGUCUUUUGAGAGAUUGACCCGUCCCACGUUAAUGCCUGUCAGCUCCUAAACUGUAGUUGGUUAAAAUAUGCCAUUAAUAUCUGUAUUUUGAGAAAAAUUGAUAUUUCGUCCUCUUGAGUUUAUCAAUAAAAUUUAUUAUUUAUACUGUAAAAGUUUCGAUUUACGAUUUAAAAACCAUAGUACAAUCAUUGAUAUUUUAGGUAAUUUUUAUCAAAAUUUAUUAAUUUGAUAUGUUAAUUAGACUGCUUUCAUGAGACAUAUGAUUAAUAAAAUUGAAAAUACUACGCUCUUAAUGACUGGACUUAAAAUUUUAAACUAAGAAAGAAGGAGAAUUUAAUUUUUAACCUUAAAAGUAAAGGGACUAAGUUUUAUUUUCUGUAAAAGUAGGACUAAAAACAGAUUUUGACCAUAGUAAUUUUACAUCGCACGUUGCUUCUUGGUUGCAUCGCGGAAGCUCCUGUUGAAUAGUCAGAAAAUUCAACUUGCCUUAGAUCCCUUAUAAGUACCUUUCCACUCCCCCCUUCCACUCUCAAGUGAGAGAACUAAGAAUCUCCAAUUCAAACCCACAAACAAAAAAAAUCCUUAUCUUCUCAUUUUCUCUCUUGUUUUCAGUUUUUGGAUAUGGAAAGUAGCAGUGAAGUGUCGAGCAGGCUUCAAUAUAUUGAACAAUAUUUACUUGAUGAAAAUCAAUUUCCUCCUGUGGGAUUGUGGAGCUUUUCAAAUGAAAAUCAAUGGACAAAUUAUCCGAAAUCCGAGGUUUCCACCUCUCAAUCUCACUCUCUUUACUCUCAAACUUCCACCUCUGAUUCCUGUCUUACAGCAUCCAAUUUUAAUAGCCUUGACGAAGAUGAUUUCUUCAACUUCUCUACCAAUUUCCCAGGUUUCGAGUCUAACCAAAGUGAUGUUUUCGAAUUUGACUCCAAACCUCAAUUUAUCCAUCUCACCACGC
rnacentral:lncRNA from 1 species